rnacentral:rRNA from 1 species
UACGGAGGGUGCAAGCGUUAUCUGGAUUCACUGGGUUUAAAGGGUGCGUAGGCGGGCAGGUAAGUCCGUGGUGAAAUCUCCGAGCUUAACUCGGAAACUGCCAUGGAUACUAUUUGUCUUGAAUGUUGUGGAGGUGAGCGGAAUAUGUCAUGUAGCGGUGAAAUGCUUAGAUAUGACAUAGAACACCAAUUGCGAAGGCAGCUCACUACACAAAUAUUGACGCUGAGGCACGAAAAGCGUGGGGGAUCAAACAGG